UGGACUAAUGAUGACCACUGGUGGCAUUUGAGUCAUAGAUGAUAAGUAACAUGUGUCUGAAACUCUGAGGUCCAA
rnacentral:snoRNA from 1 species